rnacentral:rRNA from 1 species
CCCUUAGAUGUCCUGGGCUGCACGCGCGCUACACUGAUGUGUCCAGUAAGCACCUAACCUCUUCCGAAAGGAACGGGUAACCUUUGCAAAGCACAUCGUGAUGGGGAUAGAUUAUUGCAAUUAUUAGUCUUGAACGAGGAAUUCCUAGUAAGCACAAGUCAUCAGCUUGUGUUGAUUACGUCCCUGCCCUUUGUACACACCGCCCGUCGCUCCUACCGAUUGAAUGUUCCGGUGAGCUCUUCGGACUGCGCGGUCUGCAGUUUCUGCGUUCCGUGCGGAAAGUUGCGCAAACCUUAACAUUUAGAGGAAGGGGAAGUCGUAACA